rnacentral:rRNA from 1 species
GGAGUUAGCCGGUGCUUCUUCUGUGAGUGAUGUCCUUCCUGCCGGCUAUUAACCCGCAGGCCUUCUUCCUCACUGAAAGUUCUUUACAACCCGAAGGCCUUCUUCACACACGCGGCAUGGCUGGAUCAGGGUUGCCCCCAUUGUCCAAUAUUCCCCACUGCUGCCUCCCGUAGGAGUCUGGGCCGUGUCUCAGUCCCAGUGUGGCUGAUCAUCCUCUCAGACCAGCUACGGAUCGUCGCCUUGGUGAGCCGUUACCUCACCAACCAGCUAAUCCGACAUAGGCUCAUCCGAUAGCGCGAGGCCCGAAGGUCCCCCGCUUUCCCCCGUAGGGCGUAUGCGGUAUUAGCCUGGGUUUCCCCAGGUUAUCCCCCACUACCGGGCAGAUUCCUAUGCAUUACUCACCCGUCCGCCGCUCGCCACCAGGGAGCAAGCUCCCCGUGCUGCCGCUCGACUUGCAUGUGUUAGGCCUGCCGCCAGCGUUCAAUCUGAGCCAUAGUACUAACUAACCUCGUACGUACGUAGACGGGCGGUCGGUCGGACGAACGGGCCGACUAG